rnacentral:lncRNA from 12 species
UGCUGGGGUGCGUCCCAGGAAGGCCCUGGGGCCUCUGCUCAGGUGGCUUCUGCUCCUGCAGAGAGCCGAGCCCCUCCCCCCCGGCCCCGCCCCGCCCCGCCCCGCCCCGGGGCCUUCCCUAGUCCUGCCAAGGGUUUGCAAAACAGCAGCGCCGGCCUUGGGGGAGAGGCCAGGUGGAAAGGCAGGUCCCAGGACGCUGGCGUCGGAGCACACAACUGGAAUCUGGGGUUGGCAGAGGGGUGGGAUGUGGAGCAAAUCCAGUGCUGACAGCAGCCAGUUGGGACACGGCUUGUUACUCAUCACCUUCCCUCCGCUCGGGCCGCGCCUCCACCCACCGCGCCCAGAGACCCGGACCGCACAGGGCCCUGUACAAGGGAUCUGCGGCACCCCCUCCCGGGUGUCAUCAGGUCACGCGAGGACUCAGGUGGACCUUCCCGUCCUUUCCUGCCCGGGGCCCCCAAGGACAGCGAGGGGCCAGGCCUCUGAAAGAGCUCCCUGGAGCCCUGUCCAUUCACACGCUUGGGAAGAUGGCUUCCAGGAUUGGUUUCCCCCAAGGUGACCGGGACAGGGCCAAGUUUCCCUGCGCUGUCACAGGGCUGCACACGCAUUCCGAGAGUCCCUACCUGCAGAGGAUGACAGCCCUCGUAGGAGAAAUUGGCCUUUAGGAAAAAGCAAAGGCUUGACCUGGAGGCCCCGAGCCUGAAUUAUCCCAGAGACCCAGGGAAGAGCUUGCUCCAGAGCAGGAGGGUAAAUGUAGUUCAACAAAGCCAACAUCCACUGGGCACUCACGGGUGCCCGUGAUGUGGCCGCCUGGGAAGAAGUGCCUGGCACCCAUCCCCUCCCUCCGGCUGCUCAGAGUCACAUAGACAGGUGAAAACGGCAGCGUGGGACCAGAGCUUUAGUGCGGGAAGGCACCAGGUACAAAGGGUCCCAGGGGAUGGUACUGAGUUCAGUUUAGGGAUCCUCAGUGAGAUUAGAGAGGAUUGACAUGUUGACAAGCAGCAGGGAGGCAGGAGGUGGGAGUGUCUGGUCCCCUCCUUGCUUAAGGCUUCUCAAUGGCCUCACAGAGUGAAAUUCAAACCCAGACAGAGGACUGGAAGGUCCAGCACGAUCCUGUGCUGUCCCGUACAGGGGCCGCUAGGGACACGCGGCUAUCAAGCAUUUGACACAUGGCUGGUGUUUCAGCGGAGAACUGAAUUUCUUAUUUCAUUUCAUUGUAACAGACUUCAAUAGCCUGCGCAGAUACGGAACGUUUCCAUCAUCCCAGCAAGCUGUACAGGACGGGACAGCCCACCUGCCUCCGUGUCCAUCUUGUGAGCACCUCCUCUCCCUCCCCUUAUGGGGCCACACUGGUCUGCUGGACCAGAGAACAUGCCAGGCCCAGGCCCACACCCACUCUUCCUUCUGCCUGGAGCCCCGUCCCCCCACUCCUGACAUGGGUGCUCCUCUCAUGCUUUGGGGCUCCACCUAAGUACCCCUCUCUAUUCUGCACCAGCCUCUCAUUUGUGUCCUUCACAACACCUAAUAUCACUUGUAAUCAUUUUGCCAGCUCAUUUACAAGCUUACUCUUUGCCCCCUUAGAAUGUAAGCCCAGAGAGAGCAGGACCCGGAUUUUUUUUCCCUGGUUGUAUUCCCAGGGACUGGCAUGGUGCACAGCCCAUUUAGGCACUCAGCACACCCGGAAGCGACUGUCAGUGCUCCACGCAGGGGAAGUAACACGUGUGCAAAGGCAGAGGCCGGCAUCUGCGUGGGGCCGGUCGGUGGAGGGCUGGUAGGGAGACGGUUUCAAGAUUGGGGACGUGACAGUGUGGUUUACCAGGGGAGGUGGUGCCUGAGUCAGGAAGCCACCGAGGAGCCUGCUCGAUGACCAAAGGAACUCAGCCAGGAACGGCUGGACAGCAGGGAGCGGGCCCCUUGGCCGCCGUCGCUGUCUAUGAAGUCCGAAGGUGCCUGGAACAGGGGUCAGUUGCAGAAGAACAGGGCUAGGUAAGACGGGGGGCCAUGAUGGCAAGCCUAGAGGUCCAUAAAGGAGGGUUAACUCUUUCAAUUCCCUAGGGGUAUCUGCAUCAGUCUGGGGUAGAGGGGGGCACAGACCAGUCACCUGGGGGACUGGAAACUGAGCAAGGAGAAGCUUCGGCCCAAUCACUGAGAAGCAGUAGGAGCACCAGAGGCCUCCUCUCAGCCUUCACCUGGGCCGGGCCUCCCCGCUGGCCCAGCUGCCCCUCCUCUUCCCAUCUCUAGAGUGUAACUUCUAUUGAGGCAGCACUUCGCCUCCUUCACACCGUGCCGAGGACUGGGCCUGUCACGUCGUAGAUGUUCAACAAAUACCUGUCGGCUAAGCGUCCGACUCUUGAUCUCAGCUUGGGUCUGGAUCUCAAGAGUUGUGAGUUCAAGCCCCACACUGGGCUCCAUGCUGGGCCUGGAGCCUCCUUAUCAAUCAAUCAAUAAAUACUUGUUGAAUAAGUAAAUCCGUAUUCUG